rnacentral:rRNA from 1 species
GACGAACGCUGGCGGCGUGCCUAAUACAUGCAAGUCGAGCGAAGUUUUUCUGGUGCUUGCACUAGAGAAACUUAGCGGCGAACGGGUGAGUAACACGCAAAGAACCUGCCUCAUAGACUGGGACAACUAUUGGAAACGAUAGCUAAUACCGGAUAACAGCAUUAACUGCAUGGUUGAUGUUUAAAAGUUGGUUUUGCUAACACUAUGAGAUGGCUUUGCGGUGCAUUAGCUAGUUGGUGGGGUAAAGGCCUACCAAGGCGACGAUGCAUAGCCGACCUGAGAGGGUGAUCGGCCACACUGGGACUGAAACACGGCCCAGACUCCUACGGGAGGCAGCAGUAGGGAAUCUUCCGCAAUGGGCGAAAGCCUGACGGAGCAACGCCGCGUGAGUGAAGAAGGAUUUCGGUUCGUAAAGCUCUGUUGUUAGGGAAGAAUGAUUGUGUAGUAACUAUACACAGUAGAGACGGUACCUAACCAGAAAGCCACGGCUAACUACGUG